UCUCUCUCUCUUUUGUUUUAUCCUCCUCCGGGUUUUCUCCGUCUCUCUUCCUUCUAAUUCCUGUCCCGCUCACCACUUUGUAAUUGUUGUCCCUUUUGACUCGCUCCUAUUGCCUUUCAACCAGUGACUACAUCAUACCGCACUUUGCUCUCCUUGCAUUGAUAAUCACUUCUGUAGUCAUUUUUUUUCUCAGUGUGUCACUUUCACCUCCCUGUUAGUCUCCUUUAAUCCUGAUAAAAACUCUUGCCCUGAUCUUCUUCACCUGCACUCUUGUUCCUCUUAACACUUUCCUGAAUAGUCUACGUGGUAACCUUCCUCUCAACUACUCAUUAUAUUGGCUUCUCUUUCAUCACUUGGAUCUUCUUAUACAUAUUUCAGGUCGUCCCUUCCUAAACCAUUAAGGUGUUAUGGCUCCCCUUCUCUUCCUCUUCCUCCCAGCUCCUCAGUAGCACCGCCACCCUCCUCCACUCACGUCUUAUCCUCUCACCACGGAAAAAUAGGACCUCGCCCACUCCUUCCGUUACUGUCUCCCUCUCCCUCUCCCUCCACCCCUUCCUCUCCCUCUCCUUCCACUCCUCCCUCUCCCUCUCCCUUCUCCACUGUUCCCUCUCCCUGCUUCAUCCCUCCCACUCCCUCUCUCUUGCGCGCAGUACAGUCAUGGUUGCCGGUCACAGUAUUAUUUAAUAAGGAGCACACUGGGUUAUUUUCCAGCCCGUGAGCGCCUCUUCUCGUGCAGUCCUUGUCCCCACACACACAGUCUGGAUCAGGAAGACACCGCACGCCGCCAGAUGGCAUUACAACACUGCCUGUUGCUCAUUGCUCGAGGCGACUGGUUCGGAGCCUCGUGAAGUCUCGCACACCAGCGAGCCCUUAAUGCCAGACUCUGCCGCUGUGAGGCUUGGCAUUGUAAAAAGUGUUCACGCUUAUAUAACACGUUCAGUUCUUGCUAGAAAAAUAUAUAUUGCGUAGUUAUCAGCACGUAAUGGUGACAGGAAGAUGACGGAGCUGUGGAACACUAAGAGAGAGAGAGGCUGGACGGCACGGGAACCAAUCACAAGUCGGUAUCACCGGGGAAGGAGCAGCAGCAGUCGAGUGUUGUGUGGUUCGUGUGUGUGUGUGUGUUGUCGACGUCGUGAUGAACGGAAGUGGUCGCGGCUUAUCUUCGCCAUCCGGGGUCACACGCCGGCCAUCUUGCUUCGCGGAAGAGACAAAGGGAGGUGUAUCACUCCGCCAGCAGCAAACUUGACGUCAUGGGCCAGGGCAUGCAGCGGCGUGCAGUGCGUGGGUAUGGUGACAGUGUGGCCUCUGAUGUAGAGGUGUGUGAGCUGCUGGACGAGAGAAGAGCAAACUAAAAGUAAACAUGGGAUUGCUGCCGCCUCAGGACACUAGGAGCAUUGCGGAAGCGCUGAGGAAGACAUCACAACCCUUGACACAGCGAACACAACUCUGUACUGAGGCAGGCACUGGCUUCUCCCAACACCUCACGUGGUCAUUGCAACAAAAGGAGGUUAGUGUUUAUAUGAAGUGACUAGACUUGCCCUUGUAGCAGGAAAUUCCCUUCCCUACCCCGCCACCCCGCCAUGACUGUAUCAGCUGCUUACAUAUCAGCUGUGCCUCCUUUGUAUCCUCUCUCACACUGCAAACACGGUCUUCGCGCACCACAGUAAGCCUUACUGGUGAAGUACACACGAUAUAUUAUGUAGAAGGCAAUGAAUCAUACCACUUUGUCGAGGAUAAAUUUUCCCGCGCUUCCAUCUUAUGCUCCUCCCUCAAUGUCUUCCUCCCCCUCGCCUCCUCCCCUCCCCUUCUCCCACUCCUUCACGUAAUCCUCUCUCUUCACCGUCUCCUCCUCUCCCUUUGUAGAUGUUUAUAUAAGGUUUUUACUCAGUAUAAGAUA